CACUACUACUACUACUACUACUACUACUACUACUACUACUACUACUACUAUCACUACUACUACUAUUUCUAGGUAUAUAUGCAUCAUUCCUUACCAUUCUUCUCAUCAUUCUUAUCAUUCGCUACUAUAAUUUUUGUCAUUAAUAUUCUCAGUGUCUCAUUAGUUUCAUGUUAUUCUCGAGGCCGGAACACUUGUCUUUUCCGUGACGGCUCCAAAACAAUCAUUCUUCCGCGCCGCCGCUAGACUCAAAACCAAACGGGCGCUUUUUUAAUUUUUUUUAAUUCUCUUCGCCCUUCAAAUUAAGUUGUCCCAAUUUUUAUAUCCCCCCGUCAGUCACUUCCGCUUCCGCCAUUGAUAUUAUUUUGUUUUCUCAUAUUCUUCCGCUUUUUUUUAUUUCACACGGUAUAGAGUUUCCAGGGUUCUGAAUUUCGCUGUGGAUUGUAUAUGAAAAUUUUGUGAUAUGGUCCAUUUUUCCUUGUCUUCAUUUAUCUUUCGUUUUCCCAUAUCUCUGUUAACCUUUAGACUUCAAUAAAUGGCUUACCCUUCCUCAGUCUUCACUUUUUCAGAUCCAUUUUCUUUUUCUUCUUCCUUCUCCUUCUUUUGUUUCGUUCUCUUCCUUUCCAAACACCUUUCUCAAUUUUAUUUCUUUUCCACCCCGCAAGUACUCCUCACUACCUUGAUCUUUUAUAUUUAUUUCCUUCUUCCCGACCCUUUUCCCCUUCCCCUUCUUCUUUCCUCUUCUCUUCCGAUUCUCUUUAAUCUUUCUCCAUCCUCAUCUUUCCUUCCCCAUUCCACUCCUUCCUUACUCCUCCUGUUCUUUCCCUUCUUCUUUAACCCCUUCUUUACUUCCCUGCUUUUCCUUUCUCUCUCUCUUUCCCAUCCCUCUUUCUUCUUUCCUCUUCUUCAUGUUCCCUCCUCCUUUUACCCCGUCCUCCCUCCCUCUUGCCUUCUUCUGUCCUUUUCUUUAUUCGUCCUCAUUUUCAUCACUUUCCUCUAUUUCUUUUUAGCUUUCCCUGUCUUCCGCUCUUUCACCUUCCACCCCUCCCUGUUUUCUUACCUUUCCUUCCCUUCCACCUUUCCCUCUCACCUCCUAUCCACACUUUCCUUUCCACCCGGUCUUCCUGUUCCUCCUCCUCCGUCCUUCCCCCUCCCCUUGAAGAUGGAGUGCUGCAGUCUUAAUUAAUGUUCAUGAUCUAACUUGGCCCUGCAGACUUUCCGGAACCCCGCCCAUACGUCACUCUCGGCCCCGCUCACCGCCUCGGCCCUCUCCCCUUCCACCUGACUGCCCGUGCUGGUGGUGGUGGUGGUGGUGGUGGCAGGGCCGAGCACGAGGGCCGAAAGGAAAGUGUGAAGAAGGGAGGAGCUGGCGUAAGGGAUGGUGGUGUACGCUGGGAGAUAACGCGGCGCUGCAUUCACAUCCACGCCUCACUAGAAAUGAUCAACUUACGUUUCCACGACUGUCAGCGGCCACCAACGCGCUCACUCACCUGUGGAAAGAAAG